UACGUAGGCAGCGAGCGUUGUUCGGAGUUACUGGGCGUAAAGCGUGCGUAGGCGGUGCCAUAAGUCUGUUGUGAAAUCUCCCGGCUUAACUGGGAGGGUGCGGUGGAAACUGUGGUGCUGGAGUGUGGGAGAGGUAGGCGGAAUUCCUGGUGUAGCGGUGAAAUGCGUAGAUAUCAGGAGGAACACCUGUGGUGUAGACGGCUUACUGGACCAUGACUGACGCUGAGGCACGAAAGCGUGGGGAGCAAACAGG
rnacentral:rRNA from 1 species